rnacentral:rRNA from 1 species
GAGACCCACGCCAACAGUUGCCAGCAUGUCCUCCGGGAUGGUGGGGACACUGUUGGGACCGCCUCUGCUAAAGAGGCGGAAGGAAUGGGCAACGGUAGGUCAGCAUGCCCCGAAUUAUCCGGGCUACACGCGGGCUACAAUGGUCAGGACAAUGGGUAUCGACACCGAGAGGUGAAGGCAAUCUCUUAAACCUGUCCUUAGUUCGGAUUGUGGGCUGCAACUCGCCCACAUGAAGCUGGAAUCCGUAGUAAUCGCGUCUCAAAAUGGCGCGGUGAAUAU